rnacentral:rRNA from 1 species
UACGAAGGGGACUAGCGUUGUUCGGAAUUACUGGGCGUAAAGCGCACGUAGGCGGAUUUGUUAGUCAGGGGUGAAAUCCCGGGGCUCAACCUCGGAACUGCCUUUGAUACUGAGGAGCUUGAGUCCGGGAGAGGUGAGUGGAACUGCGAGUGUAGAGGUGAAAUUCGUAGAUAUUCGCAAGAACACCAGUGGCGAAGGCGGCUCACUGGCCCGGUACUGACGCUGAGGUGCGAAAGCGUGGGGAGCAAACAGGG